rnacentral:rRNA from 1 species
GUCUACGGCCACGCCGCCCCGAACAAGCCCAAUCCCGUCUGAUCUUGGAAGCUAAGCAGGGUCGGGCCUGGUUAGUACUUGGAUGGUAGGACACCUAGGAAGACCAGGUGCUGUAGGCG